UACGUAGGGGGCAAGCGUUGUCCGGAGUCAUUGGGCGUAAAGCGCGUGUAGGCGGUCCGGUAAGUCCGCUGUGAAAGACCGGGGCUCAACCCCGUGUCAGCCAGGGAUACUGGGUGGCUGGAGACAGGUAGAGGCAAGCGGAAUUCCGGGUGUAGCGGUGGAAUGCGUAGAGAUCCGGAAGAACACCGGAGGCGAAGGCGGCUUGCUGGACCUGGUCUGACGCUGAGGCGCGAAAGCGUGGGGAGCGAACAGG
rnacentral:rRNA from 1 species